AUCCAGUGACGAGUCGCAAACAGGACGAAAUGCGCAUCCUGGAU
rnacentral:hammerhead_ribozyme from 1 species